AACCCUUGACAUCCCUAUCGCGAAUACCAGAGAUGGUUUUCAUCAGUUCGGCUGGAUAGGUGAC
rnacentral:rRNA from 1 species